CCAACAAACAGCAAAGCAACAAGAAGAAAAGAAGAAGAAUUCAUCUUUCCCUUUCUUUCUUUCUUUGUUGUUUGUUUGUUUGUUGUUGUUUGUUGUUUGUUGUUU
rnacentral:ribozyme from 13 species